UACAGAGGUCCCAAGCGUUGUUCGGAUUCACUGGCGUAAAGGGUGCGUAGGCGGUCGGGUAAGUCUGAUGUGAAAUCUCACAGCUUAACUGUGAAACUGCAUUGGAUACUAUCCGGCUCGAGGAAUGGAGGGGAGACUGGAAUACUUGGUGUAGCAGUGAAAUGCGUAGAUAUCAAGUGGAACACCAGUGGCGAAGGCGGUUCUCUGGGCAUUACCUGACGCUGAGGAGCGAAAGUGUGGGAGCGAACAGG
rnacentral:rRNA from 1 species